GGGGGCGAUUGGAUUCGACGGAGAUACUUGAGGCGGAGGCUGCAUGUCGAGAUCCCACCUCUCUCGUAAAACGGUGGAAACAAUUAAGUGCAGAAGCACAACCUCUCGCUGCCUAAUUAAGACAGCCGUUUCCCGGGUUCACUCCUGCGGUUCCCGGGAGGCGUCGACCAGCAGGAUAGCGGACCGGGCCCGCCCCAAACCCGGCGAGCGAAACCCUUCAGGGCUGGUUCCGCUGCGUUUUUCCUCUUCAAGCGCGCGGGACGAGAUUCCCGAAGAGGAUACGCGUGUAGACGCCUCCAGCUGAAUGUCUUCGGACGCGGGUUCGAUUCCCGCCGCCUCCAUUC
rnacentral:tmRNA from 1 species